UUCACAUGUUUUUCCCGUGUGAGACCGGGGUACGAAUAGUCUCACCGCUGAGUCUCGGCGUGUCGUAGGAGGCGACAAAACGAGACAAAUUCUGGGAUUUCGAUAGAGAUCCCAGCUACGUUAGACAAAGCUAGCUCAUGGCUCAGUCUAAUGUGUGCUGCAAAUGUUUUAUCGGAUUGCUACUAUCGGCAUACUAAAUGGUUAGGACAGUCUCACCGCGGAGUCUCGGCGUGUAGCAAGAAGCGACAAAACGAGACAAAUUCUGGGAUUUCGAUAGAGAUCCCAGCUACGUUAGACAAAGCUAGCUCAUGGCUCAGUCUAAUGUGUGCUGCAAAUGUUUUAUCGGAUUGCUACUAUCGGCAUACUAAAUGGUUAGGACAGUCUCACCGCGGAGUCUCGGCGUGUAGCAAGAAGCGACAAAACGGGACAAAAUCUGGGA